CCCCAACCUGCAGUGGGGACACGGCACUGCUGGCACCCGCCGGCCGGCCGGCCGGGGAUGGAUGGACGGAUGAAGAUGCAGAUGCUUGGAUGGAUGGGGCCGGACAGAUGGGGACAGAGGGACAAAAGGGGACAGAGGGAUGGAAGAAGAUGGACAGACGGACAGGGACAGGCAGGUGACGGCCAAGAGUGUCGCUCAGGACAGGUGACACCAGCGUUGUCCCCAGCCGAGCCAGUGCCAGGGCCCCUGUGAAGCAGAGGGCGGCAGCCACCAGCUCCUGGAUACUACACCCUCGUGGUUAUGCUUUUGGGGGGGUUUCCUUUUUCUUGGCUUCUUCCAUUAUUGAUCGUCAAAGCUCACCGUACAAAGCAGCUGGGACACACACACUCACACACAAUCCAGGAUGCUCCUCCC